AGAGUUUGAUCCUGGCUCAGGACGAACGCUGGCGGCGCGCCUAACACAUGCAAGUCGAACGGGGUUGAGAGGAGCUUGCUUUUCUUGACUUAGUGGCGAACGGGUGAGUAACGCGUGAGGAACCUGCCUCAAAGAGGGGGACAACAGUUGGAAACGACUGCUAAUACCGCAUAAGCCCACGGUUCUGCAUGGAACUGAGGGAAAAGGAGCAAUCCGCUUUGAGAUGGCCUCGCGUCCGAUUAGCUAGUUGGUGAGGUAACGGCCCACCAAGCCGACGAUCGGUAGCCGG
rnacentral:rRNA from 1 species